CAGACUCCAACAUCUCCUCCCGGUACUGGUCGGUGGCGCGGAAGUCGUCCACCGCCCGACUUGCCGACUCCUUCGCCGACCUUGCUUCCUCUUCCGUCCGACCGAGAGCAUCCUUUGCUGACUCAGCCUCUGCCUUCGAUAUGUCGGCGUCGGCCUGGGCGAUUGACAGAUCCUCCUCAGCCUUGGCAAGUUUUUCCAGGCUGACUCGGAGCUGCUCGCGCUCACCCUCGAGUUCAGCGACAACACCGUCGCGCUCGCGCCGCUGACGGUGCACGGUUCGACCCUUGCGUUUGGCCUCUUUCCUGGCCGACCUUAGCUCAGAC
rnacentral:lncRNA from 1 species